UAACAGACCCAUUGGGGUCGGGAAGUAAGCCACGGAAAACACCGUUGUUGCGCAGCCGCCACAUCCGCCAUAAAACAUGGGUUAUCAUGGGUAGUCGAGGAAUAUGACAGGAGGGGAUAGUGCUGACCUGCUGCUGCACGUUCAAUAGAUGAGGUUUAAACAGCCGGAUUGCUUCAGAAGAAUUAAUGUUAUCGUCAGAUUUGCCUUUUGCUUUGACAUGUGCAGGAAUCAAAGCCGUGGUGGUGGGCUGCUGCUGAUGAGUAACAGCGUUAGAAUGGCUGGGAAGAUGCUCUGUCACUGCAGGGGUUUGUCUUGGAAGAGCUGCAUCGGUAAGUUCUUUGUCAUUAGCUACCGGUGGGGGUAAUAGGGGCGGAUGUUGUAGUAAACCUGGAGGAGUCUCGGGUAUGAUUUCCUGAGUUUGAUCCAUUUCUGGAGGGGUGUAGAAAGCGGUCCAAUAAGGACUAGAUUGAUGAACCUCUGCUUUCAACCACGGGCCAAAAGCCAAUUUAUCUUUGCCGUCCUCCUUGGCCAAAUCAAAAGGAAUGUCUAUACAAUUAGUUGCAGAGUGGCCAAGUCUGCCGCACGAGUAGCAAAAGUGGGGAAGUCGUUCGUAUCUGAAAUCCAACCAUAACAGUUUCCCAGCUAAGCGAAUCAAUUUGCCAGUUUUCAGAGGUGUACCUAGAUUGAGAACCACCCUGACUCGCCCUAUUUUAACUGUGGAACCCUCCUUGCUAUCCACUCUUACCUCCAGAAUAUCCCCGAGCUGAUUAGCCGCCUUCCUCAGAAGCUGGUCCGUCAUCCACUCUAAAGGCAAGCCGAGAAUUUGGACCCAGAAAGCACACCGAGUAAAAUCAUAGCAAUGGAGCGGAGUAUUAGGGAUCCAAGGCUUGAAAUUGACUAAGUGGCUAGAAAAAAGCCAAGGACCACCCUGUGAAAUGCGUUGGAAAUCCUUGUCCUGUUGGAACUUUGCUAAAUAUAAGCCACCUUCAUGUUGAGAGAAUUCGACCAAAGUAACUCGCCAUACUCGUUUCAUUACUUCUUGGAAUGCCUGGAAAUUAACAUUAGAUGUAGUAAUAACCUUCCCUAAAAGGGUUAGUUUGCAUUCCGCAAUUUUUUCUAUCGCAGGUUCAUCCUCCCAUGUCUCAACCUCCUGAUCAGAACAGAGGCGUCCCAAGCGUUGACACAGAGCAUUCAAACGAACUGAUUCAUCAGGAUCGUCCGAAGCCAUGACGAAACCAAGUUGAAUUGAACAGAAGGCAGUAGCAUGUAAUGCAAGUACCAAGUCACGAACAGCAACCCCAGUUACGAAGAGCCACAAUUGCCAGGGAAGUGAAGUAACAGUAUAGAUUCAGCAAGAUAAGGCAUCGUUGGAAGUAAUUCACCUCUAUACGGUCCGUUGAUGAUCUUC